ACAGUGGGCCAAAGCUACAGCCAGCCUAGCACUGUUAAAUCACUCUUCCAUUGCUGUUCUGCUCAGGUUCUUGACCACUGUCAUCCUCCCUCAAGAAACAGUUGAAUUGAGAAGAGACUGAACUUCCUUGCAAUGUCAUACUGGGCAAUGAUGCUGCACUUUCUCAGCACCAGACCCAGUUUAAAGAAAUUCACACCAACCCACUAAUGCCUAUCCUUACCAUCAGUAGCAGCUAUGGUGAACUCAUCACCGCAGGAAACUCUGAUGACCUGUUUUCCCCCAAGAGGCCCUCCUAGCAGAUUAAUGCCCAGGUGCUUCUUAUAGUCCCCAACACCCAACUGUCCACACUUAUUGGAGCCAAAGGAGCCAGUAUUCCCCCUGUUCAAAGUAUCUGCAAUUGGAAUAAGGCCAUCUGAUCAUAGAAUGGGACACGGGUUUAGCAAGGAAGGAAGGAACACCAUAAACUGAAUGUCUUUUUAUCUGAGGUAACUAUUCCUUACC